AUGGCAUCGUUUAGAGACAGACGGAUUAAAGGCGCCUCUCAAACAACGAACAUGCGCGAGGAUAUUUCAGUUAAAAAAGAGUUUCACGUUCCACCUUUGACUGCCACAAUGAAAGAGAGCAAAAAGAAAAGGAAAGACACAACAAAAGAGAAAAAGAAAUCGAGGAAUGGCAUUAACCAGGCAAGGGAUUCAGAGAAACUCCAGACAGAACAGUGGAUCAACGGAGAGAUGAGUGAUGCUCAGUGCAAUGCUCAGGCCAAAGAACGUAAGAACAGCAAAUCCAAAAAUCCCAAGGAUGUAUCAGAAGUGGUUCCAGCAGAGGAGGACAAAUCUGAUUUGACUGAUCUCGAACAGGACAGCUUGAGGUGGGAAGGAGCUCUUGAAGACCCCACUGCAGAGGCCCAACGGUUGGAGGUCUACAGAGCCAACCGCCAUAAACGUUAUAUGGCAUCAAGACAGGCUUUUCUACAAAAUAUUCAGACUGGUCUAAGUAUAGACUCAAACUCUUCAAAACUAAAUACACUAAGCAUAGACUCAAACUCUUCAAAACUAAAUACACGAAACAAGUCUGGAGUUUUAACAUGAAGAACUUAUUUCAUGAAAUCUUACAAUCAGUCAUCUAUCAUGUGCAGAGACUACAAUGUACAUUGCUUGCCUUCAUUUAAUUUUUUUAUAAUUAAAUUAUUAAAAUAUACUAUAUAAUACAAAAUAUUUAAAUAAUAUUAUUGCAUAUUACUUGCACACACAUACACACACACACACACACAAAAUAUAUUUGCAUAACAUACAUUUAUUUAUUUAUUUAUACACUACCUUUAAAAAGGUUGGGAUCAGUACAAUUUUAUUUCAUUUUUUUCAAAGAAAUUAACACUUUUAUUCAGGGUGCAUUAAACUGUUCAAAAGUGAGUUAAAUAUGUUUAUAAUGUAUUAUUUCUUAUAAAUGCUGAUCAUUUGAAUGUUCUAUUCAUCACAGAAUAAAAAAACACACAAAGUAGUGUUUUUAACAUUACUUUAGAAUGAAAUUAUAUUAAGAAGUGUUUCCUCCUUUAAAAUAAAUUAAAUUUGAAAAAUUGUUUUAAAUAGUAAUAUUUCAAACUGUUACUGCUUAAGAAACCCCAAACUUAUAUAUUCACAUGCAUGUAUAAAACAAAUUGAAAUAAUUAAUGUUGAUAUCAAUUCAUGUAAAAAGUCCAAACCUGUAAAACAUUUUUUUUUGCUCUUAAAAGGUUACAAAUAUGAGUAUGACAAAUGUGCUAUAUUUUUAAACUGAGUAAAAAACAAGACAUGAACCAUGAAUGAGUAACAGUGACUAAAACUGCCCAACCAGUGCAAACGAUACACUUGCUUUGCAGCACAUUGUAUGUAAAAAGAGCCUGGUGUGUGACUGUCUUCUUACUUUUAUAAUGGGGACUCAAGUGUACAUUCCUUACUAUGCUGUAUCUAAAACAGUGAUGUAUAACAUUAUGAACUGAAACUGUACAAUAUGGUUGCCAACCUGAUUUCACUUUUUUUUGCAAGUAAAUUGGACCUAUUAAAGGGCUCAUCCAUUUGCAUGUCAUUAAUAAUGCAUCAGCACUGCAACAUGCUUCCUGAUAGAAAAAUGGGCCAUCAUGGAAGUCAUCACAUUGCUUAUCAGCAAUAUCCGCCUUUACAGAAUGUCAAAAAGUCAAGUAUACCAAAACUAUUCCUUGCUUAGUGUGCAUUUUGUGGAUCACUGCUCCCCCUUAAUAAUAGCUUUAAAAUGUAGUGUUGUUGUUUUUUUAACAAAAACUACAGGCAGUCCAUCUAACUAAUUAAAGGUAUACUCCACCCCAAAAUGAAAAUUUUGUCAUUAAUCACUAUGUUGUUCCAAACCCAUAAAAGGUUUGUUCGUCUUCAGAACACAAUUUAAGAUAGUCUCAUAGACUGCCAAAUAAAAUACACUGUCAAGGUCCAGAAAAGUAUGAAAAGCAUCGUCAGAAUAGUCCAUCCAGCGACGAGAAUACUUUUUGUACGCGAAUAAACCAAAAAUAAUGACUUUAUAGACACAGAGGAGACAAAUUGUUGAAUAAACUCAUUAUUUUUGUUUUCUUUGUGUACAAAAAGUAUUCUCGUAGCUUCAUAACGUUACGGUUGAAUCACUGAUGUCAGAUGGAGUAUUCUGACGAUGCUUUUCAUACUUUCCUGGACCUUGACAGUGUAUUUUAUUUGGCAGUCUAUGGGACAGUCACAGGCCUCCCGGUUUUCAUCCAAAAUAUCUUAAAUUGUGUUCCGAAGACGAACAAAGCUUUUAUGGGUUUGGAACGACAUGGGGGUAAGUGAUUAAUGACAAAAUUUUCAUUUUGGGAUGGAGUAUCCCUUUAUGUGAUUGUGGGAAAUGUUAGAUAGACUUUAACAAUCUAGUGUACUUGAUAAAAAGAUUCUUUUCGAUUCUCUGCUACAGAACUUCUUAAGGUCUAAGCUCUAUUUCAUGGCCCACAUAUCACCUCCAGAUUUGGACUGUCAUUUAUGACCCAUAUAUCUCUGCACAAAUUCUUGCUGAUAAGAACAGAAGUGAGUUAUGAGGAUUUGGGAUUGAAAACUGGGUUGCGUGUUAGAAGAGAGAGAGAAUAAGAGGUAAUAUAAGAGAGCAGCUCAGCAUUUCUUUUGUAAUAUGGUCUUUUGUAACAUGUUUGUCCUGCUCUUUUAUAUAUGCUCCCCCUUUUGUGACCACCGUCACAUUCAGCAUCCAUUGCUCAGUGUUCAUCUAAUCCUCCUAAGCGCUCUGAUUGGACGUGCGCUCAUGAUUGUCUAUUUUUCCACUACCCAUGCUCCAUUUCACAGCUUGAUGACCAACAACGCCACCUAGAUCUAUCAGAGUGACUGUACGUAAUAACUGAUUAACUCUAUUACAUCUACUUUUCCUUUUAAACAUUGAGUAAAUGAGCUAUACGAACUAGAUAUUUACCAAAAAAAAUUUAAAAACCUAAAUAUAUCUUAAUAAUAAAUACAGAUUAAAAUAAAUAUAGGAUUGUGUUCAUAUUCAGAAAAGUGGAUCUGAACCUGAGCUUACUGGCAAAAUCUCAAAUUUUCUUUGGAAGCUCAGAGAACUGCAGCAAGAAUAGUAUAAAUGCUUCUCAUUUUUUCAUAGUCGUAUGUUGGUAGAGGUUCUCCUCUCUGAAUAUCAGUGUUAAAAUGGCAAACUCUUUGUGAACUGUGUACAAAUCUCUUAAAGAGACAUACUGUAAUGCACUGGCCUUUAUAAAUAGUUAACAAAAAAAAAGUCUUCUGAGUAAAGGCAUGAUUGGAUGGGAUGGACUGUGGACAGAAUGGCUGAAUUCUGAUGAUUCGGA
rnacentral:lncRNA from 1 species